AACGAACGCUGGCGGCAUGCCUAACACAUGCAAGUCGAACGAGACCUUCGGGUCUAGUGGCGCACGGGUGCGUAACGCGUGGGAACCUCCCCUUAGGUUCGGAAUAACUCCCCGAAAGGGGUGCUAAUACCGGAUAAUGUCUUCGGACCAAAGAUUUAUCGCCUUUGGAUGGGCCCGCGUUGGAUUAGCUAGUUGGUAGGGUAAAAGCCUACCAAGGCGACGAUCCAUAGCUGGUCUGAGAGGAUGAUCAGCCACACUGGGACUGAGACACGGCCCAGACUCCUACGGGAGGCAGCAGUGGGGAAUAUUGGACAAUGGGCGAAAGCCUGAUCCAGCAAUGCCGCGUGAGUGAUGAAGGCCUUAGGGUUGUAAAGCUCUUUUACCCGGGAUGAUAAUGACAGUACCGGGAGAAUAAGCUCCGGCUAACUCCGUG
rnacentral:rRNA from 1 species